rnacentral:rRNA from 1 species
AUGAACGCUAGCGGCAGGCUUAACACAUGCAAGUCGAGGGGUAACAGGCUUUAGUUUACUAGAAUGCUGACGACCGGCGCACGGGGGCGUAACGCGUAUACAAUCUACCUCUUACUGGGGGAUAGCCCGGAGAAAUUCGGAUUAAUACCCCAUAAUAUGUUUGAUUCGCAUGUUUUAAACAUUAAAGAUUUAUCGGUAAGAGAUGAGUAUGCGUCCCAUUAGUUAGUUGGUAAGGUAACGGCUUACCAAGACUACGAUGGGUAGGGGGACUGAGAGGUUGACCCCCCACACUGGUACUGAGACACGGACCAGACUCCUACGGGAGGCAGCAGUGAGGAAUAUUGGGCAAUGGAGGCAACUCUGACCCAGCCAUGCCGCGUGAAGGAAGAAGGUCCUACGCAUUGUAAACUUCUUUUAUUUGGGAAGAAACCUAUCUACGUGUAGAUAGCUGACGGUACCAAAAGAAUAAGGACCGGCUAACUCCGUGCCAGCAGCCGCGGUAAUACGGAGGGUCAAAGCGUUAUACGGAAUCAUUGGGUUUAAAGGGUUCGUAGGCGGAUUAAUAAGUCAGAGGUGAAAUCCCACAGCUCAACUGUGGAACUGCCUUUGAUACUGUUAGUCUUGAGUUCGGUCGAAGUGGGCGGAAUGUGUCAUGUAGCGGUGAAAUGCAUAGAUAUGACACAGAACACCGAUAGCGAAGGCAGCUCACUAGGCCUGGAUUGACGCUCAGGGACGAAAGCGUGGGGAUCAAACAGGAUUAGAUACCCUGGUAGUCCACGCUGUAAACGAUGAUUACUCGUUUUCGGCGAUAUACAGUCGGAGACUAAGCGAAAGUGAUAAGUAAUCCACCUGGGGAGUACGAUCGCAAGGUUGAAACUCAAAGGAAUUGACGGGGGCCCGCACAAGCGGUGGAGCAUGUGGUUUAAUUCGAUGAUACGCGAGGAACCUUACCUGGGCUUAAAUGUAUAUUGACAGAUUGGGAAACCAGUUUUUCUUCGGACAAUUUACAAGGUGCUGCAUGGUUGUCGUCAGCUCGUGCUGUGAGGUGUCGGGUUAAGUCCCAUAACGAGCGCAACCCCUAUCCUUAGUUGCCAGCGAGUAAUGUCGGGGACUCUAAGGAAACUGCCGGUGCAAACCGUGAGGAAGGUGGGGAUGACGUCAAAUCAUCACGGCCCUUACGUCCAGGGCUACACACGUGCUACAAUGGCGGAUACAAAGGGCAGCUACUUGGUGACAAGAUGCUAAUCUCUAAAGUCCGUCUCAGUUCGGAUCGAAGUCUGCAACUCGACUUCGUGAAGCUGGAAUCGCUAGUAAUCGUAUAUCAGCAAUGAUACGGUGAAUACGUUCCCGGGCCUUGUACACACCGCCCGUCAAGCCAUGGAAGCUGGGAGUGCCUGAAGUCGGUGACCGCAAGGAGCUGCCUAGGGUAAAACUAGUAACUGGGGCUA